rnacentral:rRNA from 1 species
UGGGGAAUAUUGCACAAUGGGCGCAAGCCUGAUGCAGCCAUGCCGCGUGUAUGAAGAAGGCCUUCGGGUUGUAAAGUACUUUCAGCGGGGAGGAAGGGAGUAAAGUUAAUACCUUUGCUCAUUGACGUUACCCGCAGAAGAAGCACCGGCUAACUCCGUGCCAGCAGCCGCGGUAAUACGGAGGGUGCAAGCGUUAAUCGGAAUUACUGGGCGUAAAGCACACGCAGGCGGUUUGUUAAGUCAGAUGUGAAAUCCCCGGGCUCAACCUGGGAACUGCAUCUGAUACUGGCAAGCUUGAGUCUCGUAGAGGGGGGUAGAAUUCCAGGUGUAGCGGUGAAAUGCGUAGAGAUCUGGAGGAAUACCGGUGGCGAAGGCGGCCCCCUGGACGAAGACUGACGCUCAGGUGCGAAAGCGUGGGGAGCAAACAGG